UGCACCGCGCGGGACAAGUCGCCGGCGGCGCCCGACGGAGCAGUGGCUUGGAUGAGGUCAUCUUCUCCUAUGUGCUUGGGGUCCUGGAGGACCUGGGCCCCUCGGGCCCAUCAGAGGAGAACUUCGAUAUGGAGGCUUUCACUGAGAUGAUGGAGGCCUAUGUGCCUGGCUUCGCCCACAUCCCCAGGGGCACAAUAGGGGACAUGAUGCAGAAGCUCUCAGGGCAGCUGAGCGAUGCCAGGAACAAAGAGAACCUGCAACCGCAGAGCUCUGGUGUCCAAGGUCAGGUGCCCAUCUCCCCAGAGCCCCUGCAGCGGCCCGAAAUGCUCAAAGAAGAGACUCGGUCUUCGGCUGCUGCUGCUGCAGACACCCAAGAUGAGGCAACUGGCGCUGAGGAGGAGCUUCUGCCAGGGGUGGAUGUACUCCUGGAGGUGUUCCCUACCUGUUCGGUGGAGCAGGCCCAGUGGGUGCUGGCCAAAGCUCGGGGGGACUUGGAAGAAGCUGUGCAGAUGCUGGUAGAGGGAAAGGAAGAGGGGCCUGCAGCCUGGGA
rnacentral:sRNA from 1 species